UCCUUCCUGGUCUAGUGGUUAAUGCCUUUACCUUCUGCCGGUGAAAAAUUUAGAGGUCUGGUGUUCGAAUCCCUUGGGUGGAU